AUGAACGCUGGCGGCGUGCCUAAUCCAUGCAAGUCGCGCGAACAGAUAAGGAGCUUGCUCCUUUGACGUUAGCGGCGGACGGGUGAGUAACACGUGGGUAACCUACCUAUAAGACUGGAAUAACUCCGGGAAACCGGGGCUAAUGCCGGAUAACAUGUUGAACCGCAUGGUUCUACAGUGAAAGGCGGCUUUGCUGUCACUUAUAGAUGGACCCGCGCCGUAUUAGCUAGUUGGUGAGGUAACGGCUCACCAAGGCAACGAUACGUAGCCGACCUGAGAGGGUGAUCGGCCACACUGGAACUGAGACACGGUCCAGACUCCUACGGGAGGCAGCAGUAGGGAAUCUUCCGCAAUGGGCGAAAGCCUGACGGAGCAACGCCGCGUGAGUGAUGAAGGUCUUCGGAUCGUAAAACUCUGUUAUUAGGGAAGAACAAAUGCGUAAGUAACUGUGCGCGUCUUGACGGUACCUAAUCAGAAAGCCACGGCUAACUACGUG
rnacentral:rRNA from 1 species